GCUAGGCAUGGUGGUGCAUGCCUGUAAUCCCAGCAGCUCUGGAGGCUGAGAGAGAAGAAUUACAAGUUCAAAGCCAGCCUCAGUAAUGGCAAGGUGCUAAGCAACUCAGUGAGAUCCGGUCUCUA
rnacentral:sRNA from 1 species